AGGUCAAGGUUUUAAGCGUGAAUGUAUAGAAGGAAAUAAUAUCGGCCCAGCAUUCUUGCAAAUGAUACUUACAGUUUCUCAAGGGAUCGUAUUAACCAUGAAACGUAUAUUCAAAUGCAUUUCGUUUCACUAAUUGCCAAGAGGUACGAAUUAAUUAGAAAGAAAACACUCAUGAAAAUAAAUUAACUAUAUCGCUCAUUGAAAGGCAGACCAUCCACAAAACAUAAGUGCGAGAUAUGAGGGAUCUUGAGCAAUUCGAAUCAAUUCUCCCACAGAAGCUUCUACUGAAAGAGUACUUGAUAAUUUCUGUCUUACUUUAAGUAUAGCUCUUUCGGCUUCCGAUUCUCCCGAUACAUUAUUCCUUUGUAUCUUGGGGUCUCUAGAAGCAUCCGUUGUAAUAUUCCCGCUCUCUGGUUGAUUAAAGUUUUCAAGUUGCAUCUUUUGUUUUUUCAUCCUUCUCAAAGGUGAAAUAAGCCAAGAAAAUAAUGGAUCAUAUCUUAAAACUUCCAGGACAGACAGUAGUGAAUCCUCUUCCCGUCGAAGUGUUUCUAAUGUAAACUCCAUGCAUCUUCGAAAUACCCCUUCAACCCCGGUAAUUCCCAUACCAUCUACAACGUCUCUUGUAAGUCGAAAGGGAACACAUUCAGGAACGGGUAGUUUUUUACCUUGUUCGAAAGCAAUUCCUAGAUCAAUGUGAAUCACUUCUCCACUCGUUUUGUCUAUUAAAAUAUUUUGCCCAUGUCUAUCUCCAAGUCCCAAAACAUGUCCCAGGACAGAAGCAACAGCAGUGCUUCGUGCGUAAUUUGUUUGCGUUGUAAACCAUUGCACUGGAUCAGCGUAACUCUCGAGGAAAAAAUGGCGAAAGACAGGACGAUAAUGUCUACAAACUAAAUCGUAAACUUUCAAUCUAGUUUCCAAAUCCUCCAUUUGUUUCUCAGCUAUUAAUUUUCGACAAGUACUCAAAGACCAUUCCUUAGGAUGGUAAACCUUGUGAGCCGAAUCCAGAUACUCACCCAAGGGAAUGGUAUCUUGAACCCACUCUAUGACACCUGUCUUUAAUGCUAAUGGAAUCACCUUAUAAGUACGCAUUGACAGAUUUCUUUGACUGGUUUUUCGAUAGCUCCUGAGAAAUCCGUUUACUUGCUCAAACACCUGUUCCAUAACAGCAUCUUGACGAAGAUCAUCAUUCCCCCCUUUAACCAACUGUUUAUAUGUGUGACCAUUUGAGCCCAAACAUGUAAUAACUUUUGGCGCAUUAAUCCCUGAGGCAAAAUGAAUGGUAUCAUCGAAUGAAGAAACGGUAGGGAUGUUUGAAUAAUCACCUGUAUCAUUUACCUUUACGUUCAUUGUUAUAGGAGGUAAUCCAUAGUUUGCUGCAUCUUUUAGAAACCAUUUAUAUCCAGGAAAUCGACUAAAAGAUGUACUGUCAACUUUGCUCCUGGGAUUCCACUCUGCUAAACUUACAUAGUUUUCAAAGGAGCACAAAAGUUUGGUGACUAAAUUGGAUAAUCCUUGAUUAACUUUUAACAGAUCAAGGAUUUUUUUAACUGCUCUAUACCGUGAUCCAGCAUCGAGAUUUUCAAUUUCUGGAACAUUGGACACAAGCGAAAACAAAACAUGCAAAGAGUGAUAAGGAUGAUUACGUCCAACGUUGUAGCAUAUAGAUGUCAACGAUUGUUGAAAUUUCGAGUUCUCGUUCAUCAAACGAGCUGCCAAUUGAUAAAAGACAGGUAUAAACUUUUUACAAGGCAAGUUUUGUAAAUAGUGCUGUAAGGAAUUGUUCAGUUCAUCUAAAUGUGAAUUUGAAAGCCACAUAGUACAGCAUCUAGAUAUCAAAACAUCGUUUUCGUCACUUUCACUUAAACAUUUCAAAUAAUGAGUUAUACUUUGAGUGAGCAUUUUACUCCUAAAAGUUGACAUUCUUAAAUAUUCGCGUUCAUCAAUGAUAAAUGAAGACAUUUCCCUAGAAUGAUGGUUUUUUAGCAUUUUUUCUUCCUUCAUAUUAGAAGCAUUUACAAUGGAACGCUCUAACUGUUGGAUAUCAUUCUUUUUCUCAAAAUAAAGCUUUUCCAUACGCUUGAAAUCUUCAGUCAGAUCCGGGCUAGAAUAAUUAUUGUCGCAAAAUUGAGCAAACAUACAAUAAAUUUUAGCUUUUUCUUUGGCGUUCAAGUGUGACAUAUGGGAAAGGGAUUUCUCAAAAUAAUUUUUUGAGACUAAUUCAGUCUUUUCGGAUUUUGUUGUAUACAACCAGUUUCCAAGAUAUGCAUAGCUAAUAGAUGGAAAAAUGGACGAAUUUGUUUUUGAAAGUGAUUCGGAGAGCAUGCCAAUGGCAUCAAUCUUUUCAUCACGUUGCCAUAAGAUUUUAGAUGAAAGAAAAUCUAUAUCGUGCUUAAGGUUUUCAUCUGCCAAAUCAAACUUUCGAUAAAGAGCAUCACUUAACAUAGCCACGGAAAAUGCAUUUUGAAGGUUGUCAACUAUUAAAAAAGACUCGCUAAUCUUUAAGAGUUCCAAGAUAUAGUACUUGCGAAAUGAGGCUAGAUCGUCAGACAAGUCCAGUUGUUUGUGUGACUGUAGCAAGGAAAGUAGGACGUUUCUAAUUUCAAGUAAUAACUGAAAA